rnacentral:rRNA from 1 species
AGAGUUUGAUCCUGGCUCAGAUUGAACGCUGGCGGUAUGCCUAACACAUGCAAGUCGGACGGCAGCAUGAUAGAUAUUUCGGUAUUUAUUGAUGGCGAGUGGCGGACGGGUGAGUAAUAGGUAGGAAUCUGUCUUGGAGAGUGGGAUAACCCGCGGAAACGCGGGCUAAUACCGCAUGAUAUCGAGAGAUCAAAGGCAGG